rnacentral:sRNA from 1 species
UUUUGUUGUUUUUCCUUUUGGUUUCCGGAGCAUGUGAUUUGAUUUCAAGAGUGUGUUUUUAUUUUUAUGUGGAUCGGAUUCUAGAAUCUGCAGAUUGCAGAUAGAAGAUCAUAGUUUAAAUGAUAAAGCAAAGAAGAGGUUUUUAAUAUUUAUUUUACUUUUCCAAAUACAGAGGAGGCCAAUAUGAUAGGUAUAAUGGUAUUUGCUAUGUUAAGGUGGAAUUUUACCUGUCAUGUCAACUCAUGUUUGACUGGAUCAAGUAACUUUUAUUUUUAAAAACAAAUUUGAAAUCUCGUGGUUGGCCGAGUAGGAUAAUAUUCAGUACUUGAACAAUUUCAAGCAUGGUGAUUCAUCCGAGAAUUAAGUAGCACCAAAUCCUCCUUUCAUUGCCACACUGAUCUGACUGAUUCAAUUUUACAGAUGAGAAAAGAUACUUGCACAAGUUAUGUGAGAGAUAUUCUUAAUUUGGAACACGAUUUUUUUCAUGUAAAAAACUUAUGUGAAGUUGAACAGGAUGAAUCAUCCAACUGAUUUAUGAUGGCUUUACUAUAUUUGUUGACUGAGGCAACAAAACUCACCAGUGUUUCUAGUAUUUUUUUUUCUUUUUCCUAUUCACAUAGAUUAAUAGUUCUGCCUGAAAGUUCACGUGCUUUUUUUUUCUUAUUCUUUUGUUUCUCUUACCAGAUUAUAGUCAUCCUAGAAAGUUCAACAAGAUUACAUCACUGAGCAACUCUGCCUGCUGUACUAUUUCUCAAGGCGAAUCAUGUCAUUAGUUAGGUCUGCUGAUGUUAGACCAGGCUUGUCCUCUCAAAUUUUUGGUCCUGAUAAGCAUAGGA